CACAAACUGUCAUAGAAAUAAUAAAGCCAUAUCAAAUUCUGGAACGAACAUAUUAUAUAAGACAAAAUCGUCCAAUUUUGAAACAUUAUUAUGUUCAAGCUAUAUAAAGUAUCAUUACGAAAUACCUGUAUCAUUGACAGAACCAACUUCAUUACGUUAACCCACAUACAAUCACGUGACUUUAAACAAUACACCGCUUAAUGACAAAUUAAUUAAUGUUGAAAUUAUACCAAUUCAUGACAAAACCAUUUCAUAUAAUAUCAAAAUAUCAUUAAGAAAUGAUUAUACCAUAUCGAGUAGUAUCAAAACAUCAUUUACAUGAUUAAGUAAUAUCAAAACAUCAUUAAGUAAUGUCAAAACCUUAAAAAGCAACGUGAAAACCAUACUAAAUAAAGAAACAAGUACAAUCAAUUAAUAAUAAAUCCACAUAAAGUACUGUCAGAUUUCUAUAUAAGACAGCUGUACGUGG
rnacentral:lncRNA from 1 species